GUGAUGUCCGAAGGCACCAGGUACUUCCUCUUAUCGAUGUCGACUAUCUGAGAGCCGGAGACCUUCUCCACGAUCACCUGGAGGCCAAACAGGAAGCCGCCCUGAGAGGCGAUGGCCUCCUAAACCUGUCAUCACAAACAGCGCAGGCAGAGGAAGGCUCAGAAUCUCUGACCACGUUCGACCGUGAAGAGCAGGACCGCGCUCUUGUCUUUUUAGGUCAGUCUCUAUUUCUGUUAGAGUCCUGGCUGAAAACUGAGGGAAUGAGGCGAGUUUAAGCUGACAGCAGGAGUGACGUGUUGAGGGUAAAACGCUGUGAGGUGAGCGCUCUGAGCUGAAACUCUGCUGAUUCAUGGUCGGAGGAGCCGCCGGGGAGCUUCAGCGGCUCUGCUGGGAGAUUCUCCAGGUAGGGAGGAGAUACUGGGACAGGUCCGUGUCACACUGAAGGGACUAUUUCUCCUCUCCGGCCUGGAAACACCUCAGGAUCCCACUGGAAGAGCUAUAUCUGUUUUACGGCCGGUACCCUGCAUAUCUUUUUGCAUUGCCAUCAGUCUGAUGCAUUAAAGAUUCAUGAGCAGCAAACGCUGUGUGGCUCAUCUCACAGUCGCCAUGCAGUGUUUUAGCCCAACAGAAGACGAUUCAGUACAAUAAAUCAGGAUAAAUGAA